rnacentral:rRNA from 1 species
GACGAACGCUGGCGGCGUGCCUAACACAUGCAAGUCGAACGGAAAGGCCCUGCUUUUGUGGGGUGCUCGAGUGGCGACCGGGUGAGUAACACGUGAGUAACCUGUACUUGACUUUGGGAUAACUUCAGGAAACUGGGGCUCUUACCGGAUAGGAGCUCCUGCUGCAUGGUGGGGGUUGGAAAGUUUCGGCGGUUGGGGAUGGUAUCGCGGCUUAUCAGCUUGUUGGUGGGGUAGUUGCUUACCAAGGCUUUGACGGGUAGCCGGCCUGAGAGGGGGACCGGCCACAAGAGGACUGAGAUACGGCCCAGACUCAAAUGGGAGGCAGCAGUGGAGAAGAUUACACAAUGGGCGGAAGCAAGAUGCAGCGAAGCCGCGUGCGGGAUGACGGGUUUCGGGUUGUAAACCGAUUUCGCCUGAAAUGAAGCGUGAGUGACGGUAACGGGUAAAGAAGCACCGACUAACUACGUG